AGUGAACGCUGGCGGUAGGCCUAACACAUGCAAGUCGAACGGCAGCACAGUAAGAGCUUGCUCUUACGGGUGGCGAGUGGCGGACGGGUGAGGAAUACAUCGGAAUCUACUUUUUCGUGGGGGAUAACGUAGGGAAACUUACGCUAAUACCGCAUACGACCUACGGGUGAAAGCAGGGGAUCUUCGGACCUUGCGCGAUUGAAUGAGCCGAUGUCGGAUUAGCUAGUUGGCAGGGUAAAGGCCCACCAAGGCGACGAUCCGUAGCUGGUCUGAGAGGAUGAUCAGCCACACUGGAACUGAGACACGGUCCAGACUCCUACGGGAGGCAGCAGUAGGGAAUAUUGGACAAUGGGCGCAAGCCUGAUCCAGCCAUACCGCGUGGGUGAAGAAGGCCUUCGGGUUGUAAAGCCCUUUUGUUGGGAAAGAAAAGCAGCAGGUUAAUACCCCGCUGUUCUGACGGUACCCAAAGAAUAAGCACCGGCUAACUUCGUG
rnacentral:rRNA from 1 species